CUUUGGGGUGUGACUGCGUACCUUUUGUAUAAUGGGUCAGCGACUUAUAUUCUGUAGCAAGGUUAACCGAAUAGGGGAGCCGGAGGGAAACCGAGUCUUAAUUGGGCGUUAAGUUGCAGGGUAUAGACCCGAAACCCGGUGAUCUAGCCAUGGGCAGGUUGAAGGUUGGGUAACACUAACUGGAGGACCGAACCGACUAAUGUUGAAAAAUUAGCGGAUGACCUGUGGCUGGGGGUGAAAGGCCAAUCAAACCGGGAGAUAGCUGGUUCUCCCCGAAAGCUAUUUAGGUAGCGCCUCGUGAAUUCAUCUCCGGGGGUAGAGCACUGUUUCGGCUAGGGGGCCAUCCCGGCUUACCAACCCGAUGCAAACUGCGAAUACCGGAGAAUGUUAUCACGGGAGACACACGGCGGGUGCUAACGUCCGUCGUGAAGAGGGAAACAACCCAGACCGCCAGCUAAGGUCCCAAAGUCAUGGUUAAGUGGGAAACGAUGUGGGAAGGCCCAGACAGCCAGGAUGUUGGCUUAGAAGCAGCCAUCAUUUAAAGAAAGCGUAAUAGCUCACUGGUCGAGUCGGCCUGCGCGGAAGAUGUAACGGGGCUAAACCAU
rnacentral:rRNA from 5 species